AGCGGGUUCCGGUUGUCUGGAGCCCAGCGGCGGGUGUGAGAGUCCGUAAGGAGCAGCUUCCAGGAUCCUGAGAUCCGGAGCAGCCGGGGUCGGAGCGGCUCCUCAAGAGUUACUGAUCUAUGAAAUGGCAGAGAAUGGAAAAAAUUGUGACCAGAGACGUGUAGCAAUGAACAAGGAACAUCAUAAUGGAAAUUUCACAGACCCCUCUUCAGUGAAUGAAAAGAAGAGGAGGGAGCGGGAAGAAAGGCAGAAUAUUGUCCUGUGGAGACAGCCGCUCAUUACCUUGCAGUAUUUUUCUCUGGAAAUCCUUGUAAUCUUGAAGGAAUGGACCUCAAAUAUGUGCAACGUAUAGAGAAACAGUUUCUUUUGUAUGCCUACUGGAUAGGCUUAGGAAUUUUGUCUUCUGUUGGGCUUGGAACAGGGCUGCACACCUUUCUGCUUUAUCUGGGUCCACAUAUAGCCUCAGUUACAUUAGCUGCUUAUGAAUGCAAUUCAGUUAAUUUUCCCGAACCACCCUAUCCUGAUCAGAUUAUUUGUCCAGAUGA
rnacentral:lncRNA from 1 species